GUUACCAUGACACUGAGAGAACACUGAACUGCAUUUUGAAACAGGCCCCCUGGUCCAGCAGUACUGAAUAUAGGCUGAUACCUCAGACAAGAUCUCUCUGAAGGAGAAAUACAGAUAAAAGCAAAGCUCUGUGACUGAUUUUUUCACUAUCUACUUGAAAGACAGUGGGUCAGAAUUAAGGCAUUUUUGCUGCGGAGGAAAUGUGUGGGAUGUUGGCUGUGAGCCAGUAGCCACUAACAUCCCUGGCUGCACUAGGAAUACUUGAAUGAAGUGGGCGUCAACCUCGGGAGAGCGGGCAGCGCUACCUACAUCAGAGAAAAACCUCUUCAUUGAGACUCAAGGAGUAAAAAUAUUGAAUGGAGAUAAACCGGUUUGAUGGAUUUUUUUUUUCCUGUGAGGAACAGUAAAAAUACAAGAAUCACGAUCCAGUCUGGAAGAACAUCCCCUAAGGUCCUGUGCCUGUCGUGUCCCAUUCAUUCCGCAGAAAAUGAGAUACAUGCAGUCCUUGACUACUCUGACUUGUUCUUCAAGGGUUAUGGCAACAGUGAUUGUCCCUUCUAGGAUGCCUGUGAAGUAUUUGCCAGUGGUGGUUGUAACUGUUCUCUCCAAAUGCACAGCCUGUCAGCUUCUCACGACCUGCUCGGAGCUAGAGUGUGGAAAUUGGGACACCAGCUGCAUAUUCCUACUGGACCUUGGCUCUUCUCUGGGUAGCACAUCCGCAGCGCAAAGCUUCGGAGAGAUGCCGUGCGCUGAAACACCAGGAGCACCCAGCCCAGCGCGCAGCUUUCUGCUCUGCAGGCCGAGUCCUCUCCGGCUCCCGAGCGCCUGCUCCCAGGAGAGGGCAGUGGAGCCGCACACGCUCCCGUGCUGCGGCCGGCGGGAAGGCCGGCUCCCCCGGCUGCUGGGCAAGGAGAGGGACGGGGCAGCAGAGGUAUGCUCUUGUCUAGCCUGGGUUCUGUGCUGACUGGAGGAGCAGUGAAACAAAAACUGAGCAAUUGGGAGAGCCUUUCUCAGCUGGUGUAAGGUGUUGCACGGGUGGAGGGGAGCCUGCGAGACGCGACCUGACAGCAUUUGGGACCCAACACAGAGGUAAGUCCACGUGGCACGUGCCCUAAUGUCCUAAAACCUGUAAAUGUUGAUAUCUAGAGUUAAAACUGAACGAUGAGGAUUUUGUAGCCUUCCCGUGUAUGCUGGUUUCUUGCUUUGGAGCAGGAGUGUGCUUUUGUAGCAUCUCUCAGAUGUCGCCGUGUCUUGCUGCUGCUUGGGUUGUCGAUUUUUCUUUCCCCCUGUAUGCCACUGAACAGGGGCCUUGCGCACUACAGAUAGCGUGAGAGUUGCUUUCCUAAAAGCAGGAAUAAACAGUCAUCAGAUGAAAUAUUCCA
rnacentral:lncRNA from 1 species